UGCACCAAUGUUGUGCUUCUUUAUAUGUGAUAAAUCAAGGUCCAGCCGAGUGCCCUGAGAGAGCAGAGGUCCACUCAACAGUCAACCACGACAACCCCAAUUAUCCGGCGGUUUCAGAUUCAGCCGCCGCGCGCCGGCAUACCUUCCGCCGCCACCUUGUCUCCCGCAACCCCGCCACGUCCUCCACUCCGCCGUAACCUCCUCCCAUCCGCCCCCAGUUCCUCCCACGCCCUCGUCCCCGCUUCUGAUCGACCGCCGCCCAGGAGCCAGGAAGUCGCGGCCGGCGGCGGCGACGCGAGCCACGGAGGGCCUUCUUUCCAUGGCACGCUGCGAGUAGGGCCUCCUCGGAAUUGGGGACUCCGUUGUUCGGUGAUCUUCACCUGGGCAGCUGCUACUCACCAGCCUUCGCCGACGCCGCUGAUUUCCUACGGCCGGCGACUUCGUGGCGGCGCCCGACGACAAGCAUGCUGCCGUGGAGGCGAAUGGGUCCGGAGGCCGGGCGGGACGCGUCCACGUCGUGCGGGAAGGUGGUGGAGCUGCUCGCCCACAGGGCCCACCGCGGCUACCUCUUCGACGCCGCCAUACAGGAAUUCAUCGACAUCGGCAUCCCAAGCACAUGAAUGGAUCCAUUUAAGAAAUGUCCUAAUUACAUGCAUAGAUGGAUCUGAUGAAUAAUCUCCAAGUAAAGUACACAAUUCGGAAGUACAAGGAUGAUUGGCUAGAACAAGAUAGUCACCUACACUCUACAAUCUGUAAAAUUAAUUUUGAAGCCGUGAAGUUGCGGCCGGCGGCGGCAACGCGAGGCACGUAGGGCCUUCUUUCCACGGCACACUGCGAGUAGCUCCUUGUAUGAAUUGGGGACACCGGUGUUCCGUGCUCUUCACUUGGGCAACAGCUGCUCACCAGCCUUCGCCAUCGUUGCUGGUUCCCUAUGGUCGGCAUCUUCGUGUCGGGGCCCGAAAACAAGUAUACCAUGGAGCGAGGGCCUUAUUUCCGCGGCACGCUGCAAGGAGCGCCUCCUCUGGAUUGGGGAAGUCAGUGUUCGUUGCUGAUCUUCACCUGGGAAGCAGCUGCACACCGAUCGGCAUCAUCCCGACAGAAAGUAUGCUGUGGAGGUGAAUGGGCCCGAUAGCUGGACGGGACGCGUCCACGUCCAUGUCGUGCAGGACGGUGGUCGAGUUGCUUGCCCGCAAGGGCCACCGAUGCUACCUCUUUGCUGCCGAUGUAGAGGAACUCGUCGACAUUGGCAUCUGAAGGUAGUCAGGUACAAAAUUCGGAAGUACAAGAAUGAUUGGCUAGAACAAGGUAGUCACUUACAGGACUCCACAGUCUCUAAAAACAAUUUUGAGCUAGAUGCAAGGUUCAUUGUGUAGGACAGCGAGAUUGAGUGGGGCGAGCUAUGCUAGCGCCACCGUAGGCCACACGCCUGAUGUUCAUGCCUUUCCGCUGCCAGGACCAAGGGCAGAGAGGCACCCAUGCCCUGACCUAGCUGCUAGACGACCUGAGCUCGGUUAGUGUUCUCAAUAUCAUCAACUCUCUACGGUUGGCACAAGGAACUGCCCUGCAAUAAACCCUUACAGGCAAACAAUUGUACUACCAGCCAGUCAGGAGUUGGACCUUGAUUAGAAAGAUCAGUGCUGGGCUAUGGCUAGGAGGGCAGUCCGUGACAGAUCGGUUGCACCUAGGUGAAGGAGAUGGUGUAAUAUUGAUUCUGAUCUUUGCUUGUCUUUUCUAAUCACCGGUUCCAACGGGUAGUCCCAAGGGCCAGGUGCUCUUGUGAUUUGCUCUUGGUUGGAUCUGGUGGUCAUGAUGUCGUGUUGGUUCCAGUGAUGGAAGGAUGAGCUGAUCAUCUUUGACCAGUGGCAGCUGCUCCUGACGGUGCUAGAGUAUAGAGAGCAUCAGGCUGCCGUGGCGUGCCCUCUGGUGGAGAUGCACAUCCGUGGAUAUGGAGAUGUCCAAAAGGUAGCGAGGGAGGCAUUUGUUAAUUUUUUCAAGUGAUGUUGUAGCUUGUGAGGUACUAGUAAGCUCAAGGUCCAAUGGUGCGGUAUCUUCAUUAUUUAUCUCAGAAUUAUAUGUGAUGCAGAGCUACAUACGAGGUUUAACUUUGAAGUAGAUCUAGUUGUUUCGUUCGAUGGAAAUGAAAAGCAAUUUUUCCAUCUGGGUGGAUCCAUUCAUGUCUCAGACAUGUUUUGACAUUGCUGUUUCAAAAGAGAAAUGCUACAUUUUUACCCGUUCAUUUGUGAUUGUAUUAUAUGUCAUACUUUGAAAUGCAAGUACAUGUGUCUUUUUGUACCGUUGAUAACUUUGUUGUGCCCAAGUCCAAAGCCAC